UACGGAGGGUGCAAACGUUGCUCGGAAUCAUUGGGCGUAAAGCGCACGUAGGCGGCCCAGCAAGUCGGGUGUGAAAGCCCUCGGCUUAACCGAGGAAGUGCAUUCGAAACUACUGAGCUUGAAUACUGGAGAGGAUCGCGGAAUUCCCGGUGUAGAGGUGAAAUUCGUAGAUAUCGGGAGGAACACCAGUGGCGAAGGCGGCUCACUGGUCCAUUACUGACGCUGAGGUGCGAAAGCGUGGGGAGCAAACAGG
rnacentral:rRNA from 1 species